GUGGGGAAUAUUGGACAAUGGGCGAAAGCCUGAUCCAGCCAUGCCGCGUGUGUGAAGAAGGUCUUCGGAUUGUAAAGCACUUUAAGUUGGGAGGAAGGGCAGUAAAUUAAUACUUUGCUGUUUUGACGUUACCGACAGAAUAAGCACCGGCUAACUCUGUGCCAGCAGCCGCGGUAAUACAGAGGGUGCAAGCGUUAAUCGGAAUUACUGGGCGUAAAGCGCGCGUAGGUGGUUUGUUAAGUUGGAUGUGAAAUCCCCGGGCUCAACCUGGGAACUGCAUUCAAAACUGACAAGCUAGAGUAUGGUAGAGGGUGGUGGAAUUUCCUGUGUAGCGGUGAAAUGCGUAGAUAUAGGAAGGAACACCAGUGGCGAAGGCGACCACCUGGACUGAUACUGACACUGAGGUGCGAAAGCGUGGGGAGCAAACAGGAUUAGAAACCCGGGUAGUCC
rnacentral:rRNA from 1 species